UACGGAGGGUGCAAGCGUUAAUCGGAAUUACUGGGCGUAAAGCGCACGCAGGUGGCUGAGUCCGUCGAUUGUGAAAGCCCUGGGCUUAACCUGGGAAUUGCAGUCGAUACUACUCAGCUAGAGUAUGGGAGAGGGCAGUGGAAUUCCCGGUGUAGCGGUGAAAUGCGUAGAUAUCGGGAGGAACAUCAGUGGCGAAGGCGGCUGCCUGGCCCAAUACUGACACUCAGGUGCGACAGCGUGGGGAGCAAACAGG
rnacentral:rRNA from 1 species